AGAAGCUAUCUAGACUUUAAUUCAACAUAUAUCUUGAUAGAGACACUUCGUCACAUCGAGCUACGAGAAAGAAUAUCAUCAUCUUACAGAAUUCUACUCGAACACCGCAUCGAAAUCAGACUUUAAAAAUGGCGUCAAAAACCAUGAUUUCUCUCUACUGUCUGAUUGCAUUGGCCGUGGUAGCAAGUGUUUUAGUCGAGGAAGAUGAGAUCGACAAUUCCAAUGCGUUGAGUGUCGAGGAGCAACGAACCCUAGAGGAAUAUUGUAAGCAGCUAAGACGGUCAGGUGGUCAUGGUAGUGUCGAACAAUAUCAGAAUAUGUGCGUUGCUAAUGG